rnacentral:rRNA from 1 species
CCCCCAGGCCUAACACAUGCAAGUCGAGCGGUAGAGAGAAGCUUGCUUAUCUUGAGAGCGGCGGACGGGUGAGUAAUGCCUAGGAAUCUGCCCGGUAGUGGGGGAUAACGUUCGGAAACGGACGCUAAUACCGCAUACGUCCUACGGGAGAAAGCAGGGGACCUUCGGGCCUUCCGCUAUCAGAUGAGCCUAGGUCGGAUUAGCUAGUUGGUGGGGUAAUGGCUCACCAAGGCGACGAUCCGUAAGUGGUCUGAGAGGAUGAUCAGUCACACUGGAACUGAGACCCGGUCCAGACUAUUCCGGGAGGCAGCACCCCCUCCACUCGACAAUGGGCAAAAACCUGGCCCCAACCCUCUCCAAUGCUGGAGACUUACCCCCCCCGUCCAGCUUUUUGUUCAGGGCGACCGCCCUUGAAACCUCAGAACUAUGGACGGUCGGCCGCAAGAAUAAGCCAAGGGUUC